rnacentral:rRNA from 1 species
ACGGAGGGUGCAAGCGUUAUCCGGAAUCAUUGGGUUUAAAGGGUCCGCAGGCGGACGUAUAAGUCAGUGGUGAAAUCCUGCAGCUUAACUGCAGAACUGCCAUUGAUACUGUACGUCUUGAAUUCGGUCGAAGUGGGCGGAAUGUGUAGUGUAGCGGUGAAAUGCAUAGAUAUUACACAGAACACCGAUAGCGAAGGCAGCUCACUAGGCCUGGAUUGACGCUCAGGGACGAAAGCGUGGGGAUCAAACAGG